rnacentral:lncRNA from 1 species
CUUCAUGAAGGGGUAAAACGAUCUGAUUUAUUGUGGGCUACCCGCCCGGUAUUUAUGCAGGUCUCCCACCUGGUGGACACUCCCCUAGGGGACCAGAUGGAAGACUGGGACAAAAGUAUCACAGUAGCCUAUCACAGUGGCUAUAGCACAAGCACUCCCCUUUUACAUAAAUCACUCCCUCUUUUCCAUCCUGGAGAUAAUUAACUUAAGGUAGCAAAGAGAGCCUUAAUUAUCUCCAGGUAGAAAGAAACAUGGCUUUUCUUAUUUUAGCAAAACAGCUUAAAAAUCUAUAACUUUCCUUUUACAUAACAUAAACUUUAAGUCCCACAUAUCCCCAGAUAGCUUGGAUCUGAGUGCAUAUUCUAGGCGAAUAGCGCUCAGAUCCCACGAACCCAGUUCUCAGAAACGUCAACUGAAGUUUGGCUUUCGCCAGCCGUUCGUGUGUUUGUAGCCGACUAAAAGUUCCAUACUGUAGUUAUCUGGGCUCGGUCACUUUCGCAUACUUCCAGCGCACGAAUGAAGUAGUAUCUCCUUCAUUCGUGUGUUUUUCCACCGUACGAACGAGGAUUUGAAGAGGUAGCAGCAGUGUUCGAAAAAAUAAGUAGCCGAAAUUAGUUCCAGGGAAUCCUCGCCAUUUACUGCUGAGUGUUCGACAAUCCAAAAUCGCGAUUGCCACGUGUUCGGUAAACGAACACGGAACACCAGCUAUUCCCCAAUUAGUCUGUGGUUAACCGCAACAGUCUGGGUGGUUAAUAGGCGCCACACGACCUCAGUGGGAGGUUGCGUGGUUCGGUAGUUCAUUCGCUUUUCUCGCUAUUUGCACGAAUUCCCGCUGUAAUCAUCCAAAUAACCGAACAGGCUGGUUCGCAUGGUCUGUUUAAUAAGGGAUUUCGUUACACAGCUCCCCCUCAGUCCCAUGGAACGGCAUACCUGCCUAGAUCCUAACGGGUCGGCUAAGGGAUGUCCGGUAAAACAGGAAAAACAAACAAAAUAAUUACUUCUCCAGUUCAGUUUGCCGUGACAGGCCAUCUGCAUUGGCAUUCUGCUUCCCGGGGCGAUACUGCAUUGUAAAAUUAUAGGGUUGCAGUGCCAAGCUCCAUUUGAGUAGUCUGGGGUUAUCGCCAGCUACUCUGUUAAGCCAAAUCAAAGGGUUGUGGUCAGUCAGCACUGUGAAAGAGCGUCUAUACAGGUAAGGUUGUAGUUUUUUAAGUGCCCAAACUAAUGCCAGACACUCUUUUUCCACGUUGGCAUAGCUGACUUCGCAUGGUAACAGUUUUCUGCUCAGAUACGCCACCGGGUGAUCCAUGCCAUCGUCUCCCACCUGGCUCAAUACUGCUCCCAGUCCAAACAUUGAGGCAUCUGUGUGAACGAGAAACCUUUUGGUAUGAUCAGGUGCCGCCAACACAGGAGAUGCACUUAACGCAGCCUUGAGUUUCUGGAAAGCCUCCUCACACUCAGUGGACCAGACUACUUGUCGGGGUAGGGACUUUUUGGUGAGGUCUGUCAGGGGUUUGGCUAGGGCACUGUAUUCCGCUACAAAUUUCCUGUAAUAACCUGCGGUGCCCAAGAACGCCAUGACCUGUGUUUUAGUCUGGGGUUGGGGCCACUGGGUGAUGGCCUCAAUCUUAGCUGGCUAUGGUCUUUGUCUUCCUGACCCUACUCUGUGGCCUAAAUAUUGGACUUCAACCAUGCCUACGUGGCAUUUCUCUGGCUUCAUGGUGAGCCCUGCGUUCUGAAUUCGGUUGAGCACUACUGAGAUGUGCUCCAGGUGGGCUUCCCAAGUGCCACUGAAGACAGCUAUAUCGUCCAGGUAAGCACAAGCGAAGCCCUGAAAUCCCUCUAGGAGCCGGUCUGCCAUCCUUUGGAACGUAGCUGGGGCAUUCUUCAUCCCAAAUGGCAUAACCUUAAACUGGUAUAGGCCAAAUGGGGUGACAAAUGCCGAUUUUGGAAUGGCCUCAGGCUCCAAGGGGAUUUGCCAAUAUCCCUUGCACAAAUCAAUAGUCAAAUAAUUCCCCCCAGCCAUACGGUCUAGAAGCUCGUCUACUCUGGGCAUGGGGUAUGCGUCGGUAAUGGUCCGAUCGUUUAGUUUACAGUAGUCCACACAGAACCUGGUGGUACCGUCUUUCUUAGGAACCAGGACUACUGGGGAAGCCCACGGGCUUUGGGACGGUUCUAUGACCCCCAGUUCUAACAUGUCCUGGAUUUCCUUUAACAUGCUUUCCCAUACUGCUUCGGGGAUUCGGUAGGGCUGCUGCCGCAGGGGUAACUGGCCUGGGGUCUCCACUCUGUGGACUGCCAGGGUCGUAUACCCCAGGGCUGCUGAAAACAUGUCCCCAAACUCCUUUAACAGUUGGGAAGCCUGAUCUUGCUCCUUGAGACCUAAUUCUGGACCCAACUGUACCUGGUCUACUCCUGUAGGUUCUUGAGGAAGCAUAUCUGGUAAAGGGAUACCCUCACUAUCUUCAUACGCUGGAGCGCAUACCGCGGAAACCUCCUCUGUUGUCUCGAGAUAUGGCUUGAGCAUAUUUACAUGGAAGGACCGCCGGAUCCUUUCAUUGGAACAGUCUGCCACAAUGUAUGUGGUAUCACUGAUCCGCUCUAUUACAGUGUAGGGGCCCUGCCAGGAUGCUUGUAACUUAUCCGUUUUGAUGGGCUUAAGCACUAGGACCUUUUGUCCUACUUCUAAUAUACGGUCUCUAGCUCCCUUGUCGUACCAGUACUUCUGCCGUUGUUGGGCGGCCCGCAGGUUCUCCCGAACUGUUUCGGUCAGAGCCUGUAGCUGGUCCCUCAACUCUAGUACAAAUGAGACUAUAGGGGUACCCGCUUGUUCCUUAUCACCUUCCCAAUGUUCCCGUACUAAAUCCAGGGGUCCCCGGACCCGUCUCCCGUAUAAUAGUUCGAACGGGAAGAAUCCGGUGGACUCCUGGGGAACUUCCCUACAGGCGAAGAGCAAAUGGGGAAGGAAUCUUUCCCAAUUCCGACAGGUCUCUGUGAACGUGAUGAGCAUUUGCUUAAGGGUGCCGUUAAAAUGUUCACAGAGGCCAUUGGUUUGGGGGUGAUAGGGAGAACUUAAUAUGGGUUUUACCCCACAGCUCUGCCAGAGCUGUUGGGUAACCACCGCUGUGAAUUGGGUUCCCUGAUCCGACACUAUCUCCCUAGGGAAUCCCACCCUAGUAAACACCUGAACCAGUGCUUCCACUACCGUCUCUGCAUGUAUAUUUGACAGCGCUAUAGCUUCGGGGUAGCGGGUAGCGUAGUCCACCACAGUAAGAAUGUAUUUCUUACCGGAUGGACUGGGUUUGCUGAGUGGUCCGACUAAAUCAACUGCCACUCGGAAAAAUGGUUCCUCAAUGAUGGGUAGGGGACGUAGUUUUGCCCUGGGGUGAUCCCCUCUCUUCCCUACCUUUUGGCAUACCUUGCAGGUCCUACAAUAAUCCUGCAAAUCCCUAGUGACCCCCGGCCAGAAAAAUGAUUGGGUGAGUCGGUCUCUAGUCUUUUUAAUGCCUAAGUGACCUGCUAGGGGGAUAUCGUGGCUAAUCCAUAACAGUUCUACCCGAUACUUACAGGGCACUAUUAACUGUCUUUUUUCUACCUGACCCGCUCCUUUCCCUGUCCCCCCGGUCACUCUGUACAGUAAACCCUUUUCCCAGCUAAAUCUUGCCUGAUCUCCGUCUCCCUGGGGUUGUUCGGCCUCCCUCUGAUAUCCCUUUAAGGUGGGAUCUUCCCGCUGAGCUUGCUCAAAGUCUUAAGGGGUACCCCAGUAAGAAGUAUGGUCAGGGUGAAUCGUCAGUGGGUUAUUGCCUACCUGGUCAUGGGUUGAGGGGGAGCCCUCCAUAGCUCUGGAUUGCUGCCGGGAGGUAACAGGUAGUGCUCCUUCUGGACUGCAGGCUGCCAAUUGGGACGUCAGGCAUCCUAAAUCAUUCCCCAGCAACACUUUCGCUGGCAAAUCUGGCAUGAUGCCAAACUUCCACGGCCUUGGCCCCCGUACCCCAAUCAAUGUGUACCCGGGCUGUUGGUAGUUUAUGAAUUGCCCCUCCGGCCACCGUUACAGCAAUGGUGCGUCCUGUGUGCUGGGUUGGGGUGACCCGGUGUGGCUGGACCAAGGUAAUAGUAGCCCCGCUAUCUCUCAGUCCCCGAGCCUCUUGUCCAUUUAGCUUUACCGACUGCUGAUGGUGCGCCCUGUUAUCCCCAGCCGCUUGCACAGGGUUCACCUCAUGUAAGUUGGCCCAAUUCUCACUGUGGUUACUGGGUGUCUCUUGAGUCAGAGAGUUGUAAUCCUCUUGCACACAGUGUGCGGCUGCUUUGGUUGGUGGUACUGGUGUCCGCCCCCAGCGGUCUGUAGUGCGUUGUGGGCAAUUAGGUUUGAUGUGCCACACUUGCUUGCACCCAUAACACAUUGGAGCGGUCUUUUGGUACCCCGGGGUUGUGGUAUUGCCCCCCGGUGGUGGUACCCUCUGUGGCAUAGCUGGCAGACCAGAUGCAGGCCACUGGCCCUGGAAUCCUCGGUUCACCGUCCACCGUUUUUGGCUUUCUGUCUCUGACCCAGUCUCUCACCUCCACUGGUGUAUAAUCAAAAAAUUGCUCCAGUAAUAUCAAUUGUACAGCAUCCUCUAGGGUAGUUGCCUGAUUCCCCUGCAUCUAAUUACUGGCAGCGCGUUGCAUACGAAAUGCCCACUCAGUAUACGAAUCCUUGCCUUGCCUCCUGAGGGCCCGAAAUUCAGGAGUUACAGCGUACCGAGCUAACAAAAUCUCUUUUAUUUUUUCGUAGUUUUGUGUAUCCCUAUCUGGCACAGCUCUCAACGCUUCGGCUGCUCUACCUGAUAAUUUGCUGCUUAAUACUGCAGCCCAGUUAGCUCUUUCCAAAUCUUCUAGCACACAUUGUCUCUCAAAAUCUUGCAAGUAAUUAUCAAUAUCCAUCUCACCUUCCACGAGGCUUUUAAAUGCAGCGUAGUUGAUUUUCCACUGACGCCCCAUUGUAGAUCCAGAUAGCGACAAUAUAUCCACAGGAGGUGAUCUGUCUCUGGCUUCUCGGGCUUCCCUGGCAUUCUGGGUCUCUGUAGCUUGUGCCAAGAUCUGUACCACGAUCUCUGGUGCAGGGUUAGGUCCUACCAGGCUGAGUCUCCAUCUCACAUCCAUCUGGAACUCUGUUUCCUCUGCAUUCGCCAUUUGUUGUUCGCCGGUUUGAUCGCUCUCCAGUAGUUCGGCUAUUAACGUGGCUUUCGGUUUGUUGCUUGCCACUAUGCCUCGAGCUUCCAGCAGUUCCUUCAAUGUAGUUCGUUUCAAGCGUUCGUAUCUAUGCGCCAUUCACCACUUGUUUCGAUUCGGUACGUCCGUUCGGGAGGAAAUCCCACCGCUUGCCACCAGUGUAAAGGAUCCUUCUAUUCGUGCAGCGAUGAUCCUUACAGCUUCUCCCGAAAUCCAGCUGAAACAAAGUGAUUAUAACUCCCAAUCCCCCAAAAAUGAAUCGAGACUUCAUGAAGGGGUAAAACGAUCUGAUUUACUGUGGGCUACCCGCCCGGUAUUUAUGCAGGUCUCCCACCUGGUGGACACUCCCCUAGGGGACCAGAUGGAAGACUGGGACAAAAGUAUCAGAGUAGCCAAUCACAGUGGCUAUAGCACAAGCACUCCCCUUUUACAUAAAUCACUCCCUCUUUUCCAUCCUGGAGAUAAUUAACUUAAGGUAGCAAAGAGAGCCUUAAUUAUCUCCAGGUAGAAAGAAACAUGGCUUUUCUUAUUUUAGCAAAACAGCAUAAAAAUCUAUAACUUUCCUUUUACAUAACAUAAACUUUAAGUCCC